rnacentral:rRNA from 1 species
ACAUGCAAGUCGAACGCGAAAGUCCCGCAAGGGAUCAGUAGAGUGGCAAACGGGUGAGUAACGCGUGGGUGACCUGCCUUCGAGCGGGGGAUAACGUUCCGAAAGGGACGCUAAUACCGCAUAACAUCCUGCCUUUGAAGAGGUGGAGAUCAAAGCUGGGGAUCGCAAGACCUAGCACUUGAAGAGGGGCCCGCGUCCGAUUAGCUAGUUGGUGAGGUAACGGCUCACCAAGGCUCCGAUCGGUAUCCGGCCUGAGAGGGCGGACGGACACACUGGGACUGAGACACGGCCCAGACUCCUACGGGAGGCAGCAGUGGGGAAUUGUUCGCAAUGGGCGCAAGCCUGACGACGCAACGCCGCGUGGAGGAUGAAGAUCUUCGGGUCGUAAACUCCUUUCGAUCGAGACGAACGGCUUCCGGGUGAACAAUCCGGGAGAGUGACGGUACCGAGAGAAGAAGCCCCGGCUAACUCCGUGCCAGCAGCCGCGGUAAUACGGGGGGGGCAAGCGUUGUUCGGAAUUACUGGGCGUAAAGGGCUCGUAGGUGGCCAACUAAGUCAGACGUGAAAUCCCUCGGCUUAACCGGGGAACUGCGUCUGA